rnacentral:ncRNA from 2 species
CAGGAACCCGGUGUGAUCCCGGGACGGUCCCGCCACUGUGACCGGCUCCGCCGUACGACGUCGCCCGACGUCGACCACGGCGCGACCGGGAGUCAGGAACUG